rnacentral:rRNA from 1 species
UACGUAGGGUGCGAGCGUUGUCCGGAAUUAUUGGGCGUAAAGGGCUCGUAGGCGGUUUGUCGCGUCGGGAGUGAAAACACCGGGCUUAACUCGGUGCUUGCUUUCGAUACGGGCAGACUAGAGGCAUGCAGGGGAGAACGGAAUUCCUGGUGUAGCGGUGAAAUGCGCAGAUAUCAGGAGGAACACCGGUGGCGAAGGCGGUUCUCUGGGCAUGUCCUGACGCUGAGGAGCGAAAGUGUGGGAGCGAACAGG